AAUUUAGAGGCUACCAUUCAACAGAUACUCGACAUGGGUGGAGGCAGUUGGGACCAUGAAACUGUUGUUCGUGCUCUACGUGCUGCUUGUCCAUAUAUGUCUGAUUCUGAAGAGACAGGAUUAACUACAGCAGGUGUAGAUUCAAUGGCAGGGUGUAGGGGGGCCGCCCGCUAGUGGGCAGGCUGCAAAUCCUCCAGCCCAGGCUGAACAACCUGCAGCACCUACCAGUGAUGGGCCAAAUGCAAAUCCUCUAGAUCUAU
rnacentral:misc_RNA from 1 species